rnacentral:rRNA from 1 species
UACGUAGGGUGCAAGCGUUGUCCGGAAUUAUUGGGCGUAAAGAGCUCGUAGGCGGUUUGUCGCGUCGAAUGUGAAAACCCGGGGCUCAACCCCGGGCCUGCAUUCGAUACGGGCGGGCUAGAGUUCGGUAGGGGAGACUGGAAUUCCUGGUGUAGCGGUGAAAUGCGCAGAUAUCAGGAGGAACACCGGUGGCGAAGGCGGGUCUCUGGGCCGAUACUGACGCUGAGGAGCGAAAGCGUGGGGAGCGAACAGG